rnacentral:tRNA from 1 species
CGUCAAAUGUGGGACUCGAACCCACAACCUCUCGGUUAACAGCCGAACGCGCUGACCAAGUUGCGCCACUCAGAC